rfam:Brassica napus, WGS project CCCW01000000 data, contig: 29184
GUGUUUGUAGAAAUAAGAGAUGGUUGGCACCUCCUCUGGUAGAGAUGGCCUUAGGGCAUUUGAACAAAUCCGGUGAAGGAAUAAUUAUAAAAAUUUCGAUGAGCGGAUGUUUUUA